rnacentral:lncRNA from 1 species
UUCAAAUCCCAAUAUGAAGAAGAAAACGCUCCAAAAAAGAACAAAGAAGCAGGAGCAGCAGCAACGAAGAAGACUUCAACCUUCAAGCUUGAAACAUUCAAUAAUUGAACGGAGAAUUGCUAGACCUAUCUAAUUUCGACGGCAACCAGUGUUCACUACAUGAGAAACGAUGAAGAUUAAGCAAAAAUUCACAUUUAUUAAGGUAAAUUAAAGUCAUUUUUUAUAUAAACUAUUAGGUCUGCAUAGUAUUAAUUUUAUUCCUUGAAUCAUUUGCUCGUUGAGCCUUUUUGAAGUGACAAAAAAAAAAUUUCAAGAGAAACUAUGCUAACAGAUGGCCUUAGGUUUUUUCAGUUGAGGAAGCUAAAAUUAAAGAAUAGGCGUAUAUAAUAUGAUUUAGAAAUUUUGGUGAAGAAAAGUCAAGUGAUGAAAUUUAAACCCAGAAAUAAGAGAAGAAAUAUUAAAGUAGGUGGACUCUGCUUUAUUUUGGUUUAGGGUUUUUCACACAACUUAUCAGGGAAAACAAAGUCCCAUUUAAUAAAGUCUUGGUUUAAUAUGUUGUAAUAAAUAAUAAUGGAGAUAGUUCUGUUUAUUUCACAAAAAGAUGAAAUGAUGAUUCCUUCUCUUUACAUCACUUGAGUUUUAAGAAUAAAAUAUGCUUGAAACAGUAACAAUUAGUGUCAAUUGGAUCUGAGAAUGCAGUUUACAAUAUAAAUUCAGAGACUAAGUUUGGAAUGAUUUUCUGUUGGAGCGUAGUUUAUUUAGUUUAACGUUCAGCCAUGCUGGACGAACGUCUUAAUAAAUUCAGUUCUUUUUAUCUAAGUGCGUUUGACAUUGCUGUAUUAUUAGAUAUGCUCUUACCCAUGCCAUGUUGUAUGGUAUAUUACAUGCGUGCUACAAUGCAAUUGUUUCUAUGCAGUGUUUGUGUGAAACCCGCAAGCGUACAGAAUCGUUGUACAAGUAAUAAAAUUUGUGAAUUAAGUGUAUCGUUCUCACGAGGAAUAAGGUCUAAUAUUUAGUUAAGUAGCUUUUACUAAAUUCGAAGUAAUAUAAAAUCAAAAAAGUUGUGAUUUGUAUAUUUUCUACGCUAAUCUUAAACUAAGAAAGCAAAAUAAAAUAUUUAUUUAAUAUGUGAAUAUUUGUAUUGGAAUCGUGAAUUCCCCUAUUGUCAUUUAAUUCAACUCUUAAUUUAUAAUAUAAUAAAUUCAUGCAUUCAAGACAAUCGAUAAUCCACUUUUAUUCAAUAUUCUUUCCCAAGAUAUAUUAAACAUAUGUUUAACACGACCCGAUCCUAUUCCUAAUCCAAAUUCAUAUGAAAAACAUGCAUUGAUUCACAGGAUUUAUCACAUAUGAUUGCACAUGCCAUAGAUAUUAUUCCUAACACGUAUUGUUCAUAUGUUGAUUUUACCGCGUUCUAAACUGAUAGUAUUCUUACACUACAAAAAGCAACUUACUAUCUAAUUGGUGAUCAAGCAAUUAAAUAAUUCAAUGGGAAUGCAAAACCAAUCAAGAAAAAAUCAUGAAAUACUAAAUUAAUUGUCUUGAAUUAAAAUAAACAAACGACAGGGUUCAUCAUUCAUCCAAUACAAUGAAAAACUAGCCUAGCAUAUUAAUAUAUAAAUUACAAGAAGAAUAAUAGAAAAAUAUCACCCGGAUCAUGAAAGCAUACAAAAGAUGUUGAUCUUCACGUCCAAAGUUGAAUUCUUCAAAAUUUGAUGUAAUUGAACUUCAAUUCCUUGCUAUGGAUUGAUCUUCUCUCUCAAAGUAUAGCAAUUGGCCCCUUGUUCUUGAUGGAUUUGAUGAAACUAUUGUGUAUGAAAAGGCAAGAGAGAGACCCUUUCAUUGCUACCCAUAUCUUGUAUUUAUAUGAUGAAAUUAUGUAAAAAUUCACGUCCAAAUUGUCUUCCAAAAGAGUUUGAAAAUAAGGAAAGUUUCCUUCGCGCGCACGUAAUUUUGUCUCUGCACAGCUUUCAAUAUUUUGAUCAUAACUUUCUCUUUUAGUGUCUGAUUUAGGUAAUCCAAAGUGCAUUGGAAAGUUAGUUAAAAGAGCUACAAUUCUUUAAGAAAUACAAUUUUUCCAUUUCAAACGUUCUCCAUCCGAAAAAUGGGUCUCAAGUUGACCAAAAAUCUUGAAGAUAUCUUAUAUGAUUUGAAGUUGAUUUACGGUAAUAUUCUAACCAUAUCUCUUUCUUUUUUUUACUCCAAUUUGCAUUCAAUUGACUCCUAUCAAAUUUCAAAAUAUCUUUUGUGGUCCAAAUCAACCAUUAAAUAUUUACACUUUGGUCCCCAUACUUUGGAUUUGCUUUAUUUAGUCAUUUUCUGUUCUUUUUUCCAAUUCUUCUUUGAAAAAUGAAUUUUUUCUAAUAAAAGUAAUAAAUAACAAAUCAUGUACUAAUCCGUUCAAAGAAUAACAAAAUAUCAUCAUUUAGGAUCUCAAAUAAGUGUAGAAACUACACUUAUCAUGUAGUGAAUAGAAAAUUCUUUGCAUAAAUAUUUUUCUGGACAACGUGAAGAAAAAUCUUGUAAGCUUCUUUUCUUGCCCAUUUGUUAUUGUAUUGAUGAGGUGCUAUGGGCUUUGAAAGUAAGUGGUGUGACAUGGCCACUGGGCUUGUUGGCUUCAUAGAUGACUCACUCCCAACAUCGUUGUGCACAAUGGGGGCAAGGAUGUUAUGAAUAUGAUACAUGAGUCUGUGAUAGAGAGUGCCUUGAGAAAGUUACAAUGCUGCCUUCGCAACUUUGUUCUCUAAAAUGGAAUGAGAUGUGGAUAUCUGAAAUUUCUGUCCCAUUAGCUUGGUGAAUUGUGUUAUACAAUUUAUAGCCAAAUGUUUUAUCAACGAGACUGAAAAUGGUGUUGGAGUGCCAAAUUUCUUUUGUAGAAGGAAGACAAAUUAAUGUUGCUGCUCUUGGCAAUGAAAUGAUCCAUUUUAGAUUCAGAAAUGCAGAAAAGUAGCAAGGAUUUUGCUCCUCUACCAGACUUGUAAAUGAUCUGGUAGAGGAGCCUCUCUCACAGCAAUGGUUCACCCAUUGGACCCAUUAUUAAAAAAAUGUCAAAAAACCACCCACCCCCACCCCCACCCCCACCCCCAAAUGUGAGUGGAGCUGCUCUACCAGAUCAUUUAUAGAUCUGGUAGAGCAGUACGGUUCGAGUAACAAGGAUUGAGGAUUAAACCAAUUGUCUCUCCCACCCCAUCUUGAUAUAGCAACUUUUUCUAAUGAUAUAAAGUAAUAUUUUCUCCAAAGCUAUAAUGACAGAGACCUUCUUGAACUGAACUUAAACCGUUCAUGCAACCGCUUGUACUACAGAUGCAUAUUCUGUAAUUGGUUCCAUUGCAUGACGUUAAAGAGGUCAUGUUGAAUCUUUAAUUUUCUUUUUGUAGUUAACAUAUUAGCAUUAGGUGAAAAUGGAUUCAUAUUUAUAAGUCUAAAAUCAAAUGGCAGUAAAGCCUCAAGAAACUUGUUGUGUUACAUAGGAUAAACCUGCCGUGGCAUGUCGCAAAAAAUACUGUCCCGAAUAGUACUGGAACAGUGGAACUUAAAUUUUCAAAGCAGGUAACUUAAAUUUGCAUAUUCUUUUCUGAUUGUACUGGAACUUUUUAAGUUUUAGAGAUCUUGUCAAAUUAAAUACCUGCUGCAUGUUGUAGUGCUGCUAGCCUGUUCAGGAAGCUUUUUGAGAAAACUUGUAUUUCACUGUUUGUGGACAGAUAUUCACAACAUCUAGCAUAUUGUGUAUGCUUAUACAAGAUUGCUUGGUGUAUGGAAGCAAUCUCAAUAUAUGUAGUAUUUAAAAAUUAUUGGAAGAUACCUUUAAAUGUUUUUAUUUUUCUCGUUCCAUUCUACCUUCGUAGUUUGUCCUUUGACCAGCCUUUUCUAUUUAAAAGGGGGAAAAAAGGUUUCUAUUGAAUUAAUUAUAGUUUCGUGCUAUUUUUAGGAUGGAGUACAUAUAUAACAUUAGUGAUCGUUGUGAUGUGAAGGUCUCUCUGAAUAUGCGUGAUGAUGAUGUAUUUAUAUUUUUCACAAGAUUAAUUUAUCAUCUCUCUUAUGAUGAAUUGAUGCUAACUGUAUGUUCUCUUAUUCCAUUAGGUGCAAACUUCUGGGACUGCUCAUGUACAUCAGUAUUCUAUUCCUAUGAGUCGAAGACCUCUACGUAGUCAUUGAGCUUCUUGUGACCACGAAGAUAUGUUGAGACAAUUGUUGCACCACGUGGAGAGGUUCUCCGAUAAAUAUGAAUAAAUAAAUAGGAAGGUCGAUACUAUAAUGAAUUAGAUGAGACUGAGCCAACAUCUCGAUAGAGACCAUUCAUUUGGGAAUGAUGGAGUAUUUGGGAUCGAGGGAGAUUCCUUGAGGAAGUUGAGAGGGAGAUGUAGACAGUGGUUGGGGGCACUAAGAGGGGGGUUGAGAUAGGGGAGAUUAGGAGGGAGGCAGUUGCAGGGAGCAUUGAGAGGGAGGCUGUGACAGGGGAAAAGGCUGAGAGAUUGGGAGGGAGGCAAUUGCAAUGAGCAUUGAGAGGGUGACUGGGGCAAGAAACGCUGUGAUAUAGAUUGUGGUAUGUACGUACUAAAAUAUAUAGAAUUCUUGAGCAUCAACAAUCCAAUAGAACAAGUUAAUGGCUUCUAUAGAAUAGAUGGAGGGAAAAGAUGGCUGCCAAUAAUUUUGCCCUUGAUUAUGAACCGUAGGACCUUUUGAUGUAUUUGUAUGUUUACGAGUUAUGAGUGUAAAUAUAUAAUUUUAUAGCGUAUGUUGAAUGUGGGUCUUUUUAUGUUAUGAAUGGUAGUUUAUUUUUUUAGAUUGAUUAUUACAAGAGAGACGAUGUCGAAUUUUUUCAAAAAUGUUG